AAGAAGAAGAACUUCGAGAAGAAGGUGGAUUUGGUGCUUUGGAGGUUCUAGGAGCUCUCCAACAAGAAGAACCUUGGUGGAGCUUGGACUAGAGGUAAGUUUUGUAAGGUUUUCCUCUAGGGUUUGGAUUUUGGAUUAGGGAAUUGGAGCUUUGUGCUCCUUAGAGGCUUUAGAGGCUCUUUUGAGCCAUGAACAACAAGUAUCCAUGAGAGCUCAAGGUGCUCUCAUGGUGAACCCUUGGAAGUUGUGUUAGGAGCCCUAGGGUUGGUUCCAAAGGUCUAGAAACCUUACUAGGAUGCUUCUUAGAUGAUCCUAAGCUAUUGUUUCCUUAGGGUUGAGAUCGAUUCAUGG
rnacentral:lncRNA from 1 species